AGGUUCGCUUCUACGAUACAAAACCUGUCUCGAUUGGGAUGUUCUGAAAACUCACGUGCAGUGGAGUGCAUUAUUCGUAAUUGUUAGUUCGGAGCUCACAUUUGAAGCUCUCAAGGACACAGGAAUGAUGCACGAGCUGGAGAAGUUGGUGCUGGUAUUUGCUGGUGCCCCGGCGUCCGUCGUACUGUUGGUCGGCAUUGUAAUAUGCAAGGCGCUCUCGGAGACUGCUAGCAAUACUAUUGUGACCUCUUGCUUGUUGCCUCAUAUUGCUAGAGUGAGCGUGACGUUGAAGAUCAACCCGCUCUACUUAAUGAUUGGUGCAACGAUACCGUGCUCAUUACCUUUUCAUCUUAUAUCCGGGACACCAGCUAAUGCAUUGGUAUUGACAUAUCUGAACAUACCACAACAAAAAAUGAUCUGCGCUGGAUCAGGCCUAUCAAUAUUUGCUAUUUUUGUGGUGUGGUUUACAAUAGCUUUCUGGUCCCGGGUUAUAUGGGAUGGAAUUAUUUUCUAUCCGGACUGGGCCGA